UACGGGGGGAGCAAGCGUUGUUCGGAUUUACUGGGCGUAAAGGGCGCGUAGGCGGCGUGUUAAGUCACUUGUGAAAUCUCUAAGCUUAACUUAGAACGGUCAAGUGAUACUGACGUGCUAGAGUGCAGAAGGGGCAACCGGAAUUCUUGGUGUAGCGGUGAAAUGCGUAGAUAUCAAGAGGAACACCAGUGGCGAAGGCGGCUUACUGGUCCGGUUCUGACGCUGAGGCGCGAAAAGCGUGGGGAGCAAACAGG
rnacentral:rRNA from 1 species